UACAAAUUUUGUCUUAUACGACUUUGUUUUACACAAUUAAAGCUUGGGCGACUUCCGUGUCUUGGGUUACAUUGAAAUGAUUCCGACCAGAAACAGUUUUUACUAUUAAAUGGCCGCCCCACGUACACAUAUUAGGUAUGCUAAUGCUCUUAUGAUGACAUCCAUACCUUUUCUGUCGGGUUUGGUACAUCUUUUCACCAGCCUUAUGGAGUCUUUGACGAACUGCCUGCUCGGCUCAACAAACUGCAUGACCUGAUCCAUGGUGCUUGAGGUUUUCUUUGCUGGAGACAAACGGGAAAGGUGAUGCCAAGCAUGUUGCAGCUUCUGUCCCACAGCUUCUGGGCCACAUCGUCAUCAGAGGCCGUUCUGGAGCACCUCGCAGGGGCGCAAUCGCUGCAAGCACAUGAACGUGACUGUCACACACAACCCAAAGUGUGUCUGGGAGAAGCAUUCUGGAUGUACCUGAAGUAGCCACCACUCUGACUCUCCAGGCCAGGCUGCACGGCGCAGAAGAUGGUGGUCUGAGCCCCCUCCACCGUCGUCUUGGUGAAAAUCCUGAAGAUCUUCACAGCCACCUGGAUACACUGGUGCUGGUGUCUCCACAGGCUUUCAUGGUGUCGUAGCUGCUCUCGCUGUUGAGGUCUUCCAGUUGGAUGCCGGUCCAGGUGUGAGCCACCGACGCCACCACGACAAUCCGAGCCGGAGCUGACCACUUGAUCAAGUCCAGCAGCAGAUCCCUGCACGCCAUGAUGAUGCGGGCGCCUCAAGAGGAAAAAAAGGUCGUCAAAGUGGAUCCGGCCCAUGGUGUGAGCGAUGGAGGAGAGGUUGAUGACCCGGGAAGGGGCGGAGUGCUUUAGCAAGUCCAGUAGCAAGAAGGUAAGGAAAAAAUGACCUGGGGACAAAUGGUGAGGGUUUGAUUCUGCAUUAUUUUACGUAUGCUAGUAUCUGAUUGUCUUAGAGCUAACAUUUUUAUUGGACUCUAAUUAUCCCCAUUUACAUUAAGCCCAUAAAACAACAUCUAAAUUAAACCAACAUCUCGAAGUCAAUAACUUCAUGUUCUGUUUUGUCUAAGGAAUUUCUUAAGGUGCUCACCAAAAAGCUAACUUUUACCCGUCCAAACUCAAACACAGACUGAACACGGACUUUUAAAAAAUCUCCAUUCUGGCCGGAGUUUUCCAAAAGCUACGUCUUUAAGGACAAAAGGGUUGAAAGGAUUCGGGAAGACCCAGGAGACGCUGGAGAGAUGCCGGGAAACCCGGGCUUCUUGUAUUCGGUUCAGAGCUUAGCACCGGAUACUCGCUACCCCAGAACUUUGAUCUUGUACGAUUAUCUGAUUGGGGUUCUACACAGAUUGAGUUCUGCGAAUGUCGAUACCAAGAACCAUUGAUGGUUAAGGGGCUUAACUGAUCCCCGAUCCAUCAACCGACUGAUCGACUUUAGACCACUAUCCCUAACCCUAGUUUUUGCAAAUGUCUGACCAAGUAAUUGAUUCCAAUUCCCAACCAGGAGGAGUUUUUGUGUAAUCUUUCAAACUGACUGACGACUGAUCAACCUAUCGACUGACCAAACCCGAUCCCUAAGACCUAAACCCUGCCCUCCUACCCUAGUCCUUGAUUCCAGGCUGAAACCAACCACUGUGGUAAAGCUAACUGAUUGACGACUGAUCAACUUUCCGACUAUCGACUGACCAAACUUGAUCCCGAAGAAAUUCCAAUUCCCAACCAGGAGGAGUUUUUGUGUAAUCUUUCGAACUGAUUGACGACUGAUCAACCUAUCGACUGACCAAACUCGAUCCGUAAGAAAUUCCGAUUCCCAACCAGGAGGAGUUUUUGUGUAAUCUUUCGAGCUGACUGAUGACUGAUCAACCUAUCGACUGACCAAACUCGAUCCCUAAGACCUAAACCCUACCCUCCUACCCUAGUCCUUGAUUCCAGGCUGAAACCAACCACUCUGGUAAAGCUAACUGAUUGACGACUGAUCAACUUUCCGAUUAUCGACUGACCAAACUUGAUCCCUAAAAAAUUCCGAUUCCCAACCAGGAUGAGUUUUUGUGUAAUCUUUCGAACUGAUUGACGACUGAUCAACUUUCUGACUAUCAACUGACCAAACUUGAUCUCUAAGAAAUUCCGAUUCCCAACCAUGAGGAGUUUUGUGUAAUCUUUCGAACUGACAGACGACUGAUCAACCUAUCGACUGACCAAACUCGAUCCCUAAGACCUAAACCUUACCCUCCUACACCUAGUAUUUGAUUCCAGGCUGAAACCAACCACUGUGGUAAAGCUAACUGAUUGACGACUGAUCAACUUUCCGAUUCUCGACUGACCAAACUUGAUCCCGAUUCCGAUGCCCAACCAGGAAGAGUUUUUGUGUAAUCUUUCUUAACUGACUGACGACUACAAUAUAUCGACUGACCAAACUUGAUCCCUAAUAAAUUCUGAGUCCAAACCAGGAGGAGUUUUUGUGUAAUCUUUCAAACUGAUUGACGACUGAUCAACCUACCGACUGACCAAACUUGAUCCCUUAUACAUUCCGAUUCUCAACCAGGAGGAGUUUUUGUGUAAUCUUUCUUAACUGACUGACGACUGAUCAACCUAUUGACUGACCAAACUCGAUCCCUAAGACCGAAACCCUGCCCUCAUACCCAAGUCCUUGAUUCCAGGCUGAAACCAACCACUGUGGUAAAGCUAACUGAUUGACGACUGAUCAACUUUCUGACUAUCGACUGACCAAACCUGAUCCCUAAGACCUAAACCUUGCCCUCCUACCCAAGUCCUUGAUUGAAACCAACCACUGUGGUAAAGCUAACCAAUUGACGACUUGCCAAAUGCCGAAUCUCAGACCUUGAUCUUGGCGUUCUACCAAAGUAAUUGAGUCGAAACCGCGACCACCCACUGUGACAGAGAUCUGAGGCACAGGUUUUGCAUAAUCUUGCUGACCAAACCCCGAUCCUAAGACCUCGAUGUUGGCGUCCUACCCAAGUGAUUGACUCCGAACUGCAUCUCAUAUCCAUCCACCGUGGUAGCAUAAGGACAAAUAGCCACGCCGGCGUUGUUGAUCAAGUAGUGCAACGCCUUCUCGCCUGGAAAACACACGAGUCCCCCAUCAACACGUCACCUUUACUGCAGUACUAUCACAGUAUUAAGUACACGAGUGCCACCUACUGUUGUAGAUUUUCUCUGCAAACUGGCAGAUGGAUUUAGUGUCGGCCAAAUCCAGUUGCCUGACAAUGACCUUUGGGCACGGCACCUCCCUCAUGAUGUCUUUGGCCGCCUGCUCGGCUUUGGCAAUGUCCCGGCACGCCAGGAUCACUCGUGCACCUGGGAAUAGGUCAAGACGAGUGCGGUUAUGUCAUUCCGAGAUGAAAGAUUCCGAGAUAUGCGGCUUGCCUCUAGCAGCUAGGUCUUUAGCCGUCUCUUUUCCGAUUCCUGUGUUGCCCCCCGUUACUAUCGCUGUCUUCCCGUCCAGCCGCACGUCGGACGACCAUUUUGGGAUAAACAGAGACCUGACAGGUAAGAAACAACAACAGAGUCUUUAUUUUCAUUUGUAUUAAAGUUACUAGCAACUCAAAAUCUGCUAUUUCAUGUCUAAAAAGGUGACUAUAGGGGUGCUAUUUCAUGUCUAGAAGGCUCUAAUAAUGUUUAAAAAAACUGUGUUUAGAGGGUUUAUAUGCUCUAAAAAGGUGACUAUAGGGGUGCUAUUUCAUGUCUAGAAGGCUCUAAUAAUGUUAAAAAAAACUGUUUAAAGGGUUUUAUAUGCUCUAAAAAGGUGACUAUAGGGGUGCUAUUUCAUGUCUAGAAGGCUCUAAUAGUAUUUUAAAAAAUGUGUUUAGAGGGUUUUAUAUGCUCUGAAAAGGUGACUAUAGGGGUGCUAUUUCAUGUCUAGAAGGCUCUAAUAAUGUUAAAAAACUGUUUAGAGGGUUUUUAUAUGCGCUAAAAAGGUGACUGUAGGGGUGCUAUUUCAUGUCUAGAAGGCUCUAAUGUUCAAAAAAACUGUUUAGAAGGUUUUUAUAUGCUACAAAAAAAGUACAAAAAU